AAUAGAUACCCAGGUAGUCCACGCCGUAAACGAUGAGUACUAGUUGUCGGGGGUAUCGACCCCUUCGGUAACGAAGCUAACGCGAUAAGUACUCCGCCUGGGGACUACGGCCGCAAGGCUAAAACUCAAAGGAAUUGACGGGGGCCGCACAAGCAGCGGAGCGUGCGGUUUAAUUCGAAGCGACGCGAAGAACCUUACCAGGGCUUGACAUGUUGAGGACCGCCGGUGAAAGUCGGCUUCCCUUCGGGGCCUCAUCACAGAUGCUGCAUGGUCGUCGUCAGCUCGUGCCGUGAGGUGUUGGGUUAAGUCCCGCAACGAGAGCAACCCCUGUCGCCAGUUGUACUUCUCUGGCGAGACUGCCCGGAGCGACCGGGAGGAAGGCGGGGAUGAUGUCAGAUCAGCAUGGCUCUUACGGUCCUGGGCCACUCGCACGCUACAAUGGGCAGUACAGACCGUUGCGAAACCGUGAGGUGAAGCUAAUCGGAUAAAGCUGUCCUCGAGUUCGGAUUGCAGGCUGCAACCGCCUGCAUGAAGGCC
rnacentral:rRNA from 1 species